rfam:Necator americanus N_americanus-1.0_Cont80.23, whole genome shotgun sequence.
CCAACGGCCCUUUUCAGGGCCACCAACUUGCGAAUGCAAAUUGAA